rnacentral:rRNA from 1 species
CGGUAAUACGUAGGGGGCAAGCGUUAUCCGGAAUUACUGGGCGUAAAGGGUGCGUAGGCGGUUAGAUAAGUCGUGGUUCAAAGGCAGCAGCUCAACUGUUGUUCGGCCACGAAACUAUUUAACUUGAGUAUAGGAGAGGAAAGUGGAAUUCCCAGUGUAGCGGUGAAAUGCGUAGAUAUUGGGAGGAAUACCGGUGGCGAAGGCGACUUUCUGGACUAAAACUGACGCUGAGGCACGAAAGCGUGGGUAGCAAACAGGAUUAAAUACCCUGGUAGUCCACGCUGUAAACGAUGAACACUAGGUGUCGGGUGAAAGCUCGGUGCCGGCGCAAACGCAAUAAGUGUUCCCCCUGGGGAGUACGUUCNCAGAAUAAACUCAAAGGAAUNGACGGGGGCCCCCNAAGCGGGGAAUAUGUGGUUUAUUC